AAUUUAUAACUUGUUUAAAACGAGAAUUUAUUUUAUAUUUAAGAAAAAUAAUUUUUAAUUUUUGAAUAAAGUAAAUUUUAAUGAAAAUAAAUAAAUAAACUAUAGAAGAAAGUACUGUAAAGGAAAGUUAAUAAAUAUAAAAUUUUAUAUAGUAAUGUUAAAUUAUUAUACCUUGUGUAUCAGGGAAAAUUUAUAUAAAUUAUUUAUUAUAAUUAUCUUGAAAUAAAAACAGUUAAUUUUAUAAAAAUUAUUUUGUAAAAAAUAAAUAUUUAAUAUAAAAUUAAAGAUGAAAUAUCAGUCGAGUUUUAUAUAUCUAGUUUUUUAAGAAAUAAAUUAAAUUUAUUUUUUAUAUAAGAUAAUAUAUAAAAAUAAAGUGUAGAAGGGAAUAGCUUUUUAUAAUAUGAAUAAUAAAUAGUUGUAAAAUUAAAUAAUAUUUAAAUUAAUCUUAAAAGUAGAUAUAUUUAUAAAGUGUUUUAACUAAUUUUUUUAAUUAUAUAAUUUAUAACAACUUUUUAAAUUAUUGAAAAAUUAAUUAAAUUAAAAUAAAAUAAAAUAUAAUGAUUAUUAUUAGUAUAAUUUAAUGUUUGUAAAUAAAAAUAAAAUAAUAUUAUUUAUUUAAUAAAAUAUUUAUAAUAUAAAGGAAUUCGGCAACUUUUUUUUUUGCCUGUUUAUCAAAAACAUGUCUAUUUGAAGAUAUAAAAAGUCCAACCUGCUCACUGAUAAUUAUUUUAAGAGCCGCGGUAUUUUUAACUGUGCAAAGGUAGCAUAAUCGUUAGUUUUUUAAUUGAAAUCUUGUAUGAAUGGUUUGACAAAAAAAGACUGUCUCUAUAUUAUAAAUUGAAUUUAACUUUUAAGUGAAAAGGCUUAAAUAAAUUAAAAAGACAAUAAGACCCUAUAAAGCUUAAUAUAAAUUUAUUAAUUAAUAAAAUUUUAUUAAUAUAAUUAUUUAGUGAUAAAUUUUAUUUUAUUGGGGUGAUAAUGGUAAAAUGAUUAUUAACUGUUUAUAAGAUUUAAACAAAUUUAGAUGAGUUAUAUAUAAUAAAUGAUCCUAUUUAGAGAUUAAAAGUUUAAGUUACUUUAGGGAUAACAGCGUUAUUUUUUUUGAAAGCUCAUAUUGAGAAAAAAGUUUGCGACCUCGAUGUUGAAUUAAAAUUUCUAUAUAAUUGUAGCAGUUAUAUAAGAAGGUCUGUUCGACCUUUAAAUUUUUACAUGAUUUGAGUUCAAACCGGCGUAAGCCAGGUUGGUUUCUAUCUUUUAAUAAAUAAAAAAUUAUUUUAGUACGAAAGGAUUAAAUAAUUGAAAUUAUUUUAUAUAAAUGA
rnacentral:rRNA from 1 species